rnacentral:rRNA from 1 species
CGCGUAGGCGGCAUUGCAAGUCAGAUGUGAAAGCCCCGGGCUUAACCUGGGAAUUGCAUCUGAAACUGUUUUGCUUGAGUCCUGGAGGGGAUAGUGGAAUUCCCAGUGUAGCGGUGAAAUGCGUAGAUAUUGGGAGGAACACCUGCGGCGAAGGCGGCUAUCUGGACAGUGACUGACGCUGAUGCGCGAAAGCUAGGGGAGCGAACG